GGGAGCAGCAGCGGCCGGGGGCCGGCGGGCAGCGGGGCCGCCUCCUCGCCGAGGGUCGCCCGCUCGCCCUCCCGGGCCAUGGGCAGCCCCUGACCCCGCCGCAGCACCGAUCCAAAAUGACGGUCAAAGCUGUAAAGAUGCCGUGCACCUCUGCAAACGUUUAUACUAAAGUGCCUGACGGAGGAUGGGGCUGGACAGUGGCGUUUGCGUUCUUUGUUGUGGAAGCCCUGACAUACGGCAUCAUAAAAUCAUUUGGAGUCUUCUUUAACGACCUGAUGGAAAGCUUUGACGAAACCAACAGCAGGAUAUCCUGGAUAAUAUCCAUAUGUGUGUUUGUACAGACCUUCACAGCCCCUCUGUCCACGGUCCUCAGCAACCGCUUCGGCCACCGCCUGGUGGUGAUGGCCGGGGGGCUGCUGGUCAGCGCCGGCAUGGUCAUCGCGUCCUUCGCCCGCAGCGUGGGGGACAUGUACGUCACCAUCGGCGUCGUCUCCGGCCUGGGAUACUGCCUCUCCUUCCUCCCGACUGUCACCAUUUUAUCACAGUAUUUUGACAAAAGGCGCUCGCUGGUCACAGCGGUGGCAUCGACAGGGGAAUGUUUCGCUGUCUUCUCCUUCGCACCAGCAAUCACGGCCCUGAAGGAGCAGAUUGGCUGGAGGUACAGCAUGCUUUCUGUCGGGGUGCUGCAGCUCGGCAUCACCGCCUGUGGGUCGCUGCUGCGCCCCAUCGUCAUCAGAGAGCAGCAAGAAGAGAAAGCACAGCCUCCAGAGGAGUCCACAGAGACAAAGUACAUGCUUGAAAACGAGCAAACAUGCACCUCAAUAGAGUCCAUAGACUCAGGAGUCGAUAUAACUACCUCACCCAGCAAUGUGCCUGGAAAAACCAAAGCAGAGCCGAAAAGUGAAGAACCAAAGCAGCACGGACAGAAUCCCAUUGAAAAUAACAGCACCCCUCCAGAACCAAAAACCAAACUACUGGACUUCUCUGUGAUGAGAGACUAUAGCUUUAUCUGUUAUGCAUUCUUUGGCCUCUUUGCAACCCUGGGCUUCUUCGCUCCCUCCCUCUACAUCAUCCCCCUGAGCCGCAGCCUGGGCAUCAGCAAGGACCACUCUGCCUACAUCCUGUCGGCCAUGGCCAUCGCCGAGGUCUUUGGCAGGGUUUUUGCAGGCUGGGUGCUCAACAAGAAGCCGAUCCGUAAGAUCUACAUCGAGCUCAUCUGCGUCGUCCUGCUGGCGCUAGCGUUGGUUGCCUUCCCUUUUGCCUCUGGAUUCUGGGGCUUGAUGAUAUGUAGCGUUUAUUUUGGGUUCAUGCUCGGCACCGUGGCGGGCACACACAUUCCCCUCCUGGCUGAGGACGACGUGGUUGGCAUUGAGAGGAUGUCCUCUGCAGCUGGAGUCUACGUCUUCAUCCAGAGCUUAGCUGGGUUGGCUGGACCACCCCUUGCAGGUGUCUUAGUGGAUACGACAAAGAACUACAGCUCAGCCUUCUACUCCUGUGCUGCUGGCAUGGUCCUGGGGGCCGUGUUUCUGGCCCUGGUGAGGCCAUGCAAGACUGGGCUGUGCCACCAGCAGCAGCAGCAGCAGCAGCAGCAGGUGGAGGAGAGCACGGCAGGGCCACCACCAGAACUGCCAGAGGACUUUAUAGACAUGGAUAUUGGGAAAGCAGAAAAUUCAGGAAAAGGCUCCGACAGCGUGGUAUAAAAACCCUGUUCCUUCUCCAUCUAAUGUACUCAGUGUAAGGCUGGGGGAAAUGUCAGCUCUGCUCCACGUUUUAAAACUCCAUUCUAAAGGGAAUGUGAAAUUUUAAAUGUGAACAGUUGCUACCAACAAUUAUUUUUUUUUUUAAAUAUUAGAGAGAACUUUUUUAACCAACAAUGGAAAGCUCCAUAGAAAAUACGGAUAGUCACAUAAGAACAACUUCUGUCUAGCAUGAAGAUGUGAUGCACACUUGCUUUCCUGAUAACAAGCAUAGGUAAAGUUCCAACUGAUCCCAUAAAUACUGACAACAGCAACAGCAGAAGCAGCUCAGCCUCUGACUGUCACCCAUCCUCUACCACAAAUUCCACACAGACCCAAUGAUACGAACUGGAGCAUUUCAUACACCACCAGUAGCCAACUGAAUCUUCUUCUGGAGGGAUACAGACUCACCUUUUAGCUUGGAGGAGGAGGAGGAGGCUAGGCUAGGUAGCUGACAAUUAGAAACCAUUGCUAAUGAUCUUAACUUGAAUGUCACAAAUGCUGGGAAAUCAAAGGCUCCGUGUGUCUUUAUGGCCAGUUCUUACUGCACAUAUUUCAUAAGAUCAUUUUUCUUCUCCUAUCUGGGAUCCUUAGAACUGUUUUCUGUCAAUAGUCAGACCUGAUGUACUGUUUCUAAUUUAACUAGUAUUUAUUAAUUUAUUCUGAGAUUGUUAAAGGAGGUUAUCUUAAAUAACUGGAGGGGAAAAAUGAUCUUCUGCAUAAUGGAAAGCUGUCUUUACAUCAAUCUCUUCGAUGCCUAUCUUGUAUUGCUUGUGAAAUUGUUGGGAAAAUUACUCUUACAGCAUAAAGUGUAGCUGUUUCUAAUAGGUAAGUCUUAAGUAACCCAGUUAUUCAAAAACAAAAAAACAAAUAACUCCAGAUCCAGCAUCUCUUUCCAUGGAAAAGGCUCAGCUGGCGCCCACGGACCUGGCAGGGCUGCCAGACCCACCCACCCUGCAGGGAGGAUUUGGCCCAGGAUGUCUUAAUGUACCCGAAACCUUGGCUCACAGGUGCACAGGGAAAUCUCUGCUGCAGCCCCAGCUGCCUGUGGCCCCCCCAGGACCUUCCCCUCUCACUCUGCUCCCCAGCCCUGCCAGCACGGCGUGCUGGGGCUGAGCUGCACCCCUUCCCCAGCUCUCCCCUCAAGUCAGCAAGGGGCUUUUUUAUUUUUUGCUGCUGACUUCAGUGAGAAGUGGAGCCUGUGCACGGAGGGAAGGAUACAAGACAACGUUUGAGCUGUUCACUCAGUCUUAACAGGAGAGAUUCCUGCUCGCAGUGGCACGAGCUUGCUUACCCCACCUAUAUGCAUCUUCUCGCCUCUAGGCAACUCAGGGGGACAAAUCAAACAAGUCUGUUCUGGUUUGGGGGAACAAUAAACCCCAAACCACCAUUUCUGUGUACUUAAGUGGAAGUGGCAUCAUCCAUUAACUGCUACGCUGACCUGUGUUUUACCAGCCAUAGAAAUGUGGGACAAUCUGCAAAAGAAAAAAAAAAAAAGAACAACCUCUUUUUUUGGGGAAGGUGCUUGAUUUGUUUUUUUUCUGUCUUAGAUGUCCAAAAAAAAAAAAAAAAAUUAAAAAAGAAAAAAAAAAAAAAGAAGAAGAAGAUGAAAAAAAAAAAAAAAAGAAACAGGCACUCUUGCAACCAAGUGGCUGGAGCAAUUCAUCCUCACUGCCCGGGACCUUCCUCUGCCUCAGCACUUUAUCACGGCCAGCAGAACCUCGCUGCGUUGCACCCAGGACUGGAAGAUCCCUUACAGAGAACUAGAGUUGUGUCAAUCAGUGAUCAGUGAACAAAUAACCACGCUGCAUUACGAUGUACUUUUAAUUUAUUUGUUAAUUUAUGAUACUUCAAGCGUUUUGGUAAAUGUUCUGUAGCCUAUCCUUGUAAGGUUGUUGAAGUCUUUGUGAUACGAGACCUCACUACAGCACUUUGCUAUCACAACUGCUUGGAAGUGGAAAAGGCCUCCAGGUUUUGCGUGUGUGUGGAAGCUCCCUGUUCUGCAGACCCGCGAGGUUCUACUGUAUUCACUUUGGGGUUUUUCUCUUUUUUAGCCAAGUUUCCAAUCCAGAUGGAACACUCUGUUUGUCACUGACCUCACAGUCCGUGUCUGUUGCUGUCUGCGUGGCACAUGAGCAGGGGAGCGAGUGAAGUCCUGGAGCAGAGGUGAGCCCUGCACCGCCGGCACCAAAGUCCAGCGAAGAUAAUCUGCCUCCAAAUUCCACUCUGGCUGGCUUGCAGCAGUGAGCAAACACUAUUUGCAACAGUUUCCUCAAAAACAACCCCCCCCAAAACAGGGGCAUUACAAAGCCUGCACACAGUCCACCUAAAUAAAAGCACGUUUAACUGGA